rnacentral:lncRNA from 1 species
AGUAGAAACGGCGCGAAAGAGUGGAGAGAGAGGGGAUUGAUGGGAAAAGGAGAGCGUCUUCUUCCGGGAUUUCUGGGAUUGAGAUUGGCAACCGAAGAAGGAGAAGAAGAAGAAGAAGAGGAGGAGGAGGAGGAGGAGAAGAAGGAAAAGGCGAGCGUCGCGGCCAUGGCUUCUCUUGCCGCUUCCUAACCUCCUCUCCUCCUAAUUCUUUGCUCUUGCUCGGUCUCGGGCCUGAGAGAGAAGGAAGGACUUGUCUGCUGCUUUGGCUUCUUGCGAUCGUAUAUUCGUAUCGCGGGACUGGGAAGGAGGG